AGUCGAACGAGAUCUUCGGGUCUAGUGGCGCACGGGUGCGUAACGCGUGGGAAUCUGCCCUUUGGUUCGGAAUAACAGUUGGAAACGACAGCUAAUACCGGAUGAUGACGAAAGUCCAAAGAUUUAUCGCCAGAGGAUGAGCCCGCGUAGGAUUAGCUAGUUGGUGUGGUAAAGGCGCACCAAGGCGACGAUCCUUAGCUGGUCUGAGAGGAUGAUCAGCCACACUGGGACUGAGACACGGCCCAGACUCCUACGGGAGGCAGCAGUGGGGAAUAUUGGACAAUGGGCGAAAGCCUGAUCCAGCAAUGCCGCGUGAGUGAUGAAGGCCUUAGGGUUGUAAAGCUCUUUUACCCGGGAUGAUAAUGACAGUACCGGGAGAAUAAGCUCCGGCUAACUCCGUGCCAGCAGCCGCGGUAAUACGGAGGGAGCUAGCGUUGUUCGGAAUUACUGGGCGUAAAGCGCACGUAGGCGGCUUUGUAAGUUAGAGGUGAAAGCCUGGAGCUCAACUCCAGAACUGCCUUUAAGACUGCAUCGCUUGAAUCCAGGAGAGGUGAGUGGAAUUCCGAGUGUAGAGGUGAAAUUCGUAGAUAUUCGGAAGAACACCAGUGGCGAAGGCGGCUCACUGG
rnacentral:rRNA from 1 species